rnacentral:rRNA from 1 species
AGAACGAACGCUGGCGGCAGGCCUCAAACAUGCAAGUCUAGGGGGUGCAGCAAUGCAUCACCGGCGGACGGGUGCGUAACACGUGGGAAUAUACCUUUUGGUUCGGAACAACCCAGGGAAACUUGGGCUAAUACCGAAUAAGCCCUUACGGGGAAAGAUUUAUCGCCGAAGGAUCGGCCCGCGUCUGAUUAGCUAGUUGGUGGGGUAACGGCCCACCAAGGCGACGAUCAGUAGCUGGUCUGAGAGGAUGAUCAGCCUCAUUGGGACUGAGACACGGCCCAAACUCCUACGGGAGGCAGCAGUGGGGAAUAUUGGACAAUGGGCGCAAGCCUGAUCCAGCCAUGCCGCGUGGGUGAUGAAGGCCCUAGGGUUGUAAAGCCCUUUCGGCGGGGAAGAGUAAUGACGGUACCCGCAGAAGAGCCCGGCUAACUUCGUGCCAGCAGCCGC